rnacentral:rRNA from 1 species
GACGAACGCUGGCGGCGUGCCUAAUACAUGCAAGUAGAACGCUGAAGAAAGGAGCUUGCUUCUUUUGGAUGAGUUGCGAACGGGUGAGUAACGCGUAGGUAACCUGCCUUGUAGCGGGGGAUAACUAUUGGAAACGAUAGCUAAUACCGCAUAACAGCUUUUGACACAUGUUAGAAGCUUGAAAGAUGCAAUUGCAUCACUACGAGAUGGACCUGCGUUGUAUUAGCUAGUAGGUAGGGUAACGGCCUACCUAGGCGACGAUACAUAGCCGACCUGAGAGGGUGAUCGGCCACACUGGGACUGAGACACGGCCCAGACUCCUACGGGAGGCAGCAGUAGGGAAUCUUCGGCAAUGGGGGCAACCCUGACCGAGCAACGCCGCGUGAGUGAAGAAGGUUUUCGGAUCGUAAAGCUCUGUUGUAAGAGAAGAACGUGUGUGAGAGUGGAAAGUUCACACAGUGACGGUAACUUACCAGAAAGGGACGGCUAACUACGU